UCUAUUACGAGUUGAGAGAAGCGACACACGUGGAGUAAAUUGUUGGUACCCCUCGGUUAAUGAAAGAAAAACCCACAAUGGUCACAGAAAUAAUUUAAAUCUGACAAAAGUAAUAAGAAAUAAAAAUUCUAUGAAAAUUAACCAAUGAAAAUCAGACAUUGCUUUUGAACUGUGGUUUAACAGAAUUAUUUUAAAAAAUAAACUCAUGAAACAGGUCUGGACAAAAAUGAUGGUACCCUUAACUUAAUAUUUUGUUGCACAACAUUUUGAGGCAAUCACUGCAAUCAAACCAUUUGUGUAACUGUCAAUGAGACUUCUGCACCUCUCAGCAGGUAUUCUGGUCCACUCCUCAUGAGCAGACUGCUCCAGUUGUCUCAGUUUUGAAGGGUUCCUUCUCCAGACGCCGUGUUUCAGCUCCUUCCACAGAUGUUCAAUAGGAUUUAGAUCAGGGCUCAUAGAAGGCCACUUCAGAAUAGUCCAAUGUUUUCCUCUUAGCCAUUCUUGGCUGUUUUUAGCUGUGUGUUUUGUGUCAUUAUCCUGUUGCAAGACCCAUGACCUGUGACUGAGACCAAGCUUUCUGACACUGGGCAGCACACUUCUCUCUAAAAUAACUUGAUAGUCAUGAGAUUUCAUUGUACCUGCACAGAUUCAAGACACCCUGUACCAGAUGCAGCAAAGCAUUCAUUAACCGAGGGGUACCAACAGUUUUGUCCACGUGUGUAUCUUUACUUAGCUUCUGUGCAACAUCAGUAUUUUUUUAAUUAUGGACAAAUAUGUGCAAUAUGGAUAAUAUCUGUGCAAUAUUAAUAUUUCUACUCAUGACAGAAUCUGUGCAGUAUAUCUGAUAUGUGCAAUAUUGUCAUUUCCAUGUCCAGAAGAAUUUGGGCAAUCUGAAAAAUUGUGUAUUUUUUGUUUUAAUUUUUUCAGCUGAUAUUUCUUAAAUUGCAGUUUUUCCAGUUUCCCCUGUAGCAAUGCAAUUUUACCAACUGUAGAAUUAACAAAGGCUUAUUGUAUCAUAUUGUGGUUCCAGCAAGCUAGCCAAUAAUAUGUUGAAGAAUAAUGUUCUUAUUUAUUUUGGUUUGUAUUCUUCUUUCAGGACACUCAUAUAAAUUCUGGAUGUUGUCCGUUAUCAUUUAUUUCAUCAACUUCCAUUAGUUUCAGUGAAUAUCCCAGCCAGCCAUGACAAUGAGUCCCAACGCACAACAUCUUCACCUAAAUGCAAUGUUUUUUUUUGUUUUUUUUUUAAUGUUAUCAGCUGUGUUUUUCCUGCUAUGACAAGCCAAAAUGCUUUUGGGACUCACGUCUAACAGGAGGAUUUGUGCUUCAGCAGGCAAAGCAGAGUGAGACCUCGUCAUGUAUGUCAGCCUCUCUGAUUCAGCUGACGCGUUAAAAAUGAUAGAGAACAAUAGCCGCCUCUAGUGUUCAAGAGGUGAUACUGCAAGUGAACAAGAUCACAUUUAACCAACAGAGAUCAGUGGGAAACUUUUCCAGCUGAUUUCUCACACCAAAUGAGCAAAUGAGGCAUCAUAUACCCGGUCCGUGUGCGGAUCUGGUAAUUGGAUUUUCCGUUCUGAAACGGGUAUUGAAAAACAAAAAACGAGUGGUUUUUUGAUUUUCGUUUUAAAAUACAAAAAUUAAAAUUUAAAUACAAGGCGUUUUUCCUUUUCAUGAUCAAAAAGGGAUAUACGAUUUUUUAAAAAUUCUUUGAUUUCCGUUUUGUAUUUAGAAUAACAAGAAAGUAAAAUCAGUAAGAGAGAGAACCGAAAAAAGGUCCGUUUUUUCAUUUUCUGAGACCGGAAGUGGUCAUCAGGAAGUGUGGAGCCAAACGACAACAAGAUUCUCAGAGGGCGGAGCCAGAGAGCAGUGAUUGGUCAGAUCAUAGAUACUAUAGAAGACAGCACGCUAGCGUAUCUAGUCCAUGUAUAUCUAUGGUCGGCACGUCUGGUAGCAUCUCUGGCUGCUGUUGGUCUUGUUUUUGGAGUAAAACACGGUGGAAGCUGAAUUAGUGAGGAUGACUCCUGCUCCUGUCAUCUCUAAGCUCCUCACACAUCUUUACCUGCACAUGAGGAAAAUCACUCCUGUAGAAUGCAGAUGUUCAGAGGGAGAUGAUGCCACAUCUGGUCCAGCUGAUGGAAGGUCUUGAAGUUCUCUGACUGGCCUCGACUGAAGAUGGUCGUCUCACUGGAUUUAAGGUUCAGAUGCUCAGUAACAAACUCCACCAAUGAGCCAACAGGGAAGCUUUAGGUUUAUUAAAUGUUGCUAUGAAGGUAUCGCUGUUUUUCUUUGUGAAUGCAAUGUGCUCCAACUGAAACUUGAAUUAGAACUUAAAAGUAAAUCCUUCCAUCUGAAAGGAUUUAGUUGCAUUAAUAACCUCAUAACAUUCUAAUUUUUAUUCCAGUCUUGGUUGGAAAUAGAAUCUCUGUAUUGAUUCAGGUAAAAACUGAACUUCACAGCAUGUUGGAGCAAAACAACCAGAUGAAAACUGUGAUGGUGUUGGAUUGUCAGACCGUAAUGUUGCAGCUCAAAGCAGCUUUUCUAGCUCAGUUCAUUCUGACAUUCAGCUAUGAAUCAACACAGCAGAUGGUGAUCCAUGCUGUGGAAGUCUCACAUCUCCUGAUUUAAUGGAGCUGCUUUGCACUUUUUACACUGUUUAUUCACCAACACUUUAUUUAAUAAAAGUCCCAUCUAGUUUUUAUGAGGAAUGUGAUGUUUUAAUUUCUCUGUGAAUAACUGCAGUCUAAUGCAACAGCUGGAGUUGUAACAUCUGUCCUGAUAUUGAUCAUGAAGUAUUGAUCAGAAUACUUAUGGUUAGCAGUCAUCCCUGAAGUUUUACAUUAAAAUCUUUACUUGUGUUGUGAACUUUGGUAAGAAGCAGAAACGUUAGCGUUGCCAUGGAUACAAGAGUGUUAAAUUCUGUCCAUGUUUCCAUUUUGGGAAAUUCAGUCCAGUUCCAGAAUGUGGAGGAAUUUAGUCUCACAAUCACAGACAACAAAUAUUAUCUGAGAGUCGGGUUAUUGUUGUUUAUCAGCACAAUACAAAAAGAUUAGUGUUAGAAAUAUUCCAGUUAAGACUUUAGAAUAUCAUGAUUUAUGUAAAUUUACCUCAAUAAUAUGAAUGUUCAGGUUAAGAUUGUACAGUGAUAUUUAUUAUGCAAGUUUAGCUGAUUAAAGUUUAUGACUCUGCACUAAAAUAUUAUUUAAAUUGACAUCAUUAUUAUAAUAUUUAGGGUCAGACCCUUCAGUAUUGAGAUUAAGAAAUCAAAUAUUCUAUAAAAUGUAAAUACACUGAACUCAUUUGGAUAUAUUUAAGUUAGACUCUACAAUAUCAUUUGACACAAAUCUAAAUCAAAAUUUUAAUAAUUUUCACGCCAAACAUUUACUGGACUGAUUUAAAUAUUAAAAUCACUCCUUUCUAAUCCUCUGCUGUACGUUCAAACCUGAGGCCUUAAAUAGAAACACACAAGGAUCUGAUUGAAGGAACUUCUGCAGAGUCCUGGUUCCAGAACAUGAUGAUAGAAUUAUAAACAAACUUUAACAAAAGCUGCCUGAGAGUUUACAGGUUUUUAUGUUGGAUUUCUUCAGUAAUUUAAUGAGCGUUAUCAGCAAUAAUCAAGUGUUCAUUUGAUGAACUUCAUUUCCUAAAACAUCCAGAAUUGGAGCUCAUAUCUUUGGCAGCUGUAAAGUUUCUGCUCCUUCAAAGUUCACAACACAAUGAAUGAAUUCCUAAAACACUCUCAAUGCUGGAGAGCGUUUGUGAUGCUGAAGCAGUGACCAGUUUUUCUGUUUCUUCUCUGGAGAUGCACAAUGAGGGACGUCUGCAGAGACUGAGAAAGAGUCUCACCACAUCCUGACAUGAGGAAAAAGACUUUAUUGAAGACUACAAUGAGAAAAACUAUCAGACAGCAGACGGCUGCAUUCAAGGUGAGCUCUGAACAUUUGAUCUGGAACAGGAAUUCAAUAACGGCAGCAUGAGCUUCAUUUCAGUCUGUAGCUGCUGAAUUCAUGGAUGAAUCAUCUGGCACUAGAGAGGAAGACCAUCAAACAUCCACGUCAGCUGAUGGAGAUCCAAGAGUCUCAUCGAACAAACAACCUACAGAGUGAAGACCUCUAACCUGAUUGGACGGCCUCCUAUUCAGCCACAUGUGUGAACAAAUGCCUCUAAGCUGAUUUGUUUUCUAAAAUAAAUCUAGUUUGAGUCCUAA